CCUACGGGGGGCAGCAGUGAGGAAUAUUGGUCACUGGUCGGGAGACUGAACCAGCCAAGCCGCGUGAGGGAGGAAGGUACAGAGUAUCGUAAACCUCUUUUGUCAGGGAACAAAGACUGGGACGCGUCCCCGGAUGAGGGUACCUGAAGAAAAAGCAUCGGCUAACUCAGUGCCAGCAGCCGCGGUAAUACGGAGGAUGCGAGCGUUAUCCGGCUUUAUUGGGUUUAAAGGGUGCGCAGGCGGUUGGUUAAGUUCACGGUCAAAGCCCGGGGCUCAACCCCGUCCCGCCGUUGAAACUGGCAGUCUCGAGUUGGAGAGAAGUAUGCGGAAUGCGCGGUGUAGCGGUGCAAUGCAUAGAUAUCGCGCAGAACUCCGAUUGCGAAGGCAGCAUGCCGGCUCCACACUGACGCUGAGGCACGAAAGCGUGGGUAUCGAACAGGAUUAGAUACCCCAGUAGUC
rnacentral:rRNA from 1 species